GGGUACUCGAGUGGCGAACGGGUGAGUAACACGUGGGUGAUCUGCCCUCAACUUUGGGAUAAGCCUGGGAAACUGGGUCUAAUACCGGAUAGGAACAAUCUUUAGUGUGGUUGUUGGAAAGCUUUUGCGGUUGGGGAUGAGCUCGCGGCCUAUCAGCUUGUUGGUGGGGUAAUGGCCUACCAAGGCGUCGACGGGUAGCCGGCCUGAGAGGGUGUACGGCCACAUUGGGACUGAGAUACGGCCCAGACUCCUACGGGAGGCAGCAGUGGGGAAUAUUGCACAAUGGGCGGAAGCCUGAUGCAGCGACGCCGCGUGGGGGAUGAAGGCCUUCGGGUUGUAAACUCCUUUCGACAGGGACGAAGCUUUUGUGACGGUACCUGUAUAAGAAGCACCGGCUAACUACGUGCCAGCAGCCGCGGUAAUACGUAGGGUGCGAGCGUUGUCCGGAAUUACUGGGCGUAAAGAGCUCGUAGGUGGUUUGUCGCGUCGUCUGUGAAAUUCCGGGGCUUAACUCCGGGCGUGCAGGCGAUAC
rnacentral:rRNA from 1 species